rnacentral:lncRNA from 1 species
AUUCUAUAUGCAAUUUAGGUGUAUGUAUUUGUAUGCAAUUUGAUUUUUGAAUAUUCUGGUCCGUUAUAUAUUUUAUUUUAUUUUACCUAGCCAAAAUACUAAGCUUUUUUACUUAUGUUUUGGUGAUAUCCUUUUCUGAUUGAUUGGUUUAAAUUCAUAAUACAUUAUAUUGUAAAUUAGAUAGUCAAUAACAUAUUUUAGCAAAAGAGUUGUAUUUUAUUGACAUGCUUGGCAAUACAGAAGUCUUGAAUUUUAUUAAAUCGAAAGUUGAGUUGAAAAACGUAUGCAAACUAACAGAGAGGGUGUAGACAUGUUGUUGCUCGAUUUUGUCGACUUCGUAAGGCU